rnacentral:rRNA from 1 species
UACGGGGGGGGCAAGCGUUGUUCGGAAUUACUGGGCGUAAAGGGCCAGUAGGCGGCCAACUAAGUCCGACGUGAAAUCCCAAGGCUUAACCUUGGAACUGCGUCGGAUACUGGAUGGCUUGAAUUCGGGAGAGGGAUGCAGAAUUCCAGGUGUAGCGGUGAAAUGCGUAGAUAUCUGGAGGAAUACCGGUGGCGAAGGCGGGUCUCUGGGCAGUAACUGACGCUGAGGAGCGAAAGCGUGGGGAGCGAACAGG